AGGUAGUAGCUCAAAUGGCAAUGCAUUGCAUUGCUAUGGUGCCGUUCUUCAGAAACCAUCAUCCUUUGUAGAGAGACAGGAGACGGGAUCCAGCCCAGGAAAACACGCUUCUUUGCAGAUCAUUACCUAGAAGGCUGAAACACUCUUUGGAACUCUCCUCUCAGCACUCUGUCUGUCCUGCUAGUCGACUUCUCAUGAAAAACUCUCCCUGCUUCAUCUGGUUAGCCUAUUGAAUCAUCUUAUCUUACUUGCAAAGGAAUGGAAAUAGUGACCCGAGUGGCCACCCAUCUGAGAGGACGUAACAUUUAUGAUUGCUUUUUUUUUUUUAAAUGAAUCAGAUUGGUGUGAGAAGAAAUAUCUUUCGAAUGUGGUUUAUUAUGAUCACACUAAAAACUCACACAGUGGCACGCAACCGGAAAAUAGAUGGUCAUGAACACACAGGAAGCAUUUCCUUUCCUCGUCGCUGCAUGCAUCGCGUCUGCAAAUGUGCUGCUAGAUGUUUCCAGAACAUUCCAGUGCUUAAAAACUUUAAUGGCACUUCAGUUACAAACCACUUUUAUUUCUAUUUGUUGAACAAAUAAUGCACAUGGAUGAGAUAAUGAUUUAUUAAAGAGUGGUAUGUAGACAACACGCAGUAGACACGAUUCUUCCAUUACCUUUGGAUAUGCUAUCCAAGUAUGGUCACUUGGUUUACAUUCUUUUGUAAUUCAUAUUUUCCAACUUAAAUGCUAAUAAUCUAGAUUUUUAUUUUUGCAUAAAUAUUUGUUGAUGACAGAAUGAGGAUAGAAUUUUAACAACAGCUAAUGAAAAAAAUAACAUUUUGAUUUUAGUUUUUGAUACUAAUAUUCUUUGAGGAUGUUUUUUAGCUUUAAUUCUGUGUAUGCAUAUGUAUCUGCAUGGAGGUCUGGCCAUGUGAAUGCCUUUGGCCGUGGAGGUCAGAACAGGGCACCAGGUCUGCAAGAACUGGAGUUAUCAGAUGCUUUUUAGCCAUAAGACAUCUGUAUUGGGAAUGGAGCUCGAGUACUAGGGAAGAGCAUCAAGUGCCCUUAACUGCUAAGCCAUGGCUGUAGGCCUGAGGUCAACUUUCUUUUAAACAUGUGUUCUUUCAUAUAGAAAUACUGAAUAAAUCCAGUACUGUAAGAAUUUUGAUUAAAAAAAUGAACUAUAAAUCCUAUAUUUUCAUCUUAGAAUAUUAAGAGUCAAUUUUAUAAUUGAAUAUUUACUGAAAAAACUUUCAGCCAGACAGCUCACUUGUUAGGCAUUUUCUCAUCCUAUCCAGAAUCUAUUCUAUGAUAAUUCACCUAUGAAGUUUUUGGACCAAUUUUAUUAGGAACACCCCUGAGUUAACACAGCACACUAAGCAUAUAUGAUGGGUGCAUAGAAAAGAAGGUGAAAGCUUUCAGAACAAGAUGGUAAGCAGCUCAUACUUCAUUAGAACAAAUAAUGGAUUCAGCUGAGUUCUCCCCACGGUAGAAUCCUACACAUCCUUUGUAUUUUCCUCUCCUACAAAUGGGGUGUUACAAAGGAAAGCUGUGAGGAUUUGUAGGGAGCAAAGAGAAUUCCCAGAAUGUCUGAAAACCUUGAGCACGAUGCUAAUCUAUCACGUCAUCACUUCUGGAACUCCAGGAGAUAAACCGUCCCAGAUGCAUUCAUCCAUUCUCAACCAGUAUUUCUUGCCACUGGGACUCAUUGUGUAAGGAUAGCUGUGGUCUGUCUCUCUUCCCAGCUUCCCUUGCUCUGUAGUCCCUACCAAGGUCUUCCCUCCAGACAGCGCUAAGUGAACCCCCAGGAAUCAUCUCACCUGUAAGAUGUCAGUUAGGGAAGCAUGAAAGAACACCAAGCUCCUCUUCAUAGACAUCUCAUUGAACUGAAAACUUCCAAAUUGCUCUACCUCUGGGUGACUUGAUGUUUUGACAUGUCUGCGUUUCUAUAUGUUUGCCCAGUUGGAGAUCUAAAAAUAUAUGAUGAAAUUUCUUUUGAUCUUCUUUGUUGAACAUCUGAAAAAGUUUACUUAGCAUGUGGUAACAAUUUUAAUUUGGGAGCAUGCUGAUAAUAAAAAGAUGUUAUGUGCAUGCGUGCAUCCACAAGUCAAAAAUGAGUUCACAUUUUAUUUGUUCUCUGCAUUGAGCUUGCCCAACUCUGUUUUAAUAAACAUGACUAUUAAGCUUGUGGCUUUUGCUAAGUCAAUGCAAAGUAAACAAAGUCUGAGUCAAUCAAAUUUUUGAUAUUAUCUAUGCCUGGUACCUAGUAAUUUUAUGGAUUUCGGGCAUCUGCUGUAACAUGCUUAUUUGACUGCUCAGUGAAAAUAUCAUAUGUAGUGCCUGUGAGCAAUGUGAAUAGGUAACGUGUUUUUAAAAAUAUUAUGAAUUGCUAAUGAAAGUCAUUUU
rnacentral:lncRNA from 1 species